rnacentral:rRNA from 1 species
UACAGAGGGUGCAAGCGUUAAUCGGAAUGACUGGGCGUAAAGGGCGCGUAGGUGGCUGAUUAAGUUAGAUGUGAAAUCCCCGGGCUUAACCUGGGAACUGCAUUUAAUACUGGUUAGCUAGAGUGUGGGAGAGGUAAGUGGAAUUUCCGGUGUAGCGGUGAAAUGCGUAGAUAUCGGAAGGAACACCAGUGGCGAAGGCGGCUUACUGGCCUAACACUGACACUGAGGCGCGAAAGCGUGGGGAGCAAACAGG